ensembl:lncRNA novel transcript, sense intronic to RBFOX3
GACCUCUGAUGGUGGCAGGGUUGCCUGCAGCAUACCGCUGGGGAGGGCGUGCACCCUUCCCAGCCUUGCCACCCAGGGCAGGCUCUGGAACCUCAGUUUACCCUGCUGAGAAGCAGGGACUGCUGCGUGGAUCAGGCGAUCUAUGUAAAGCCGCUGAUGUGAUCUCAUCUAGGACAGCUGAGAAGGAUACACCUAGAAUCUGCAUGCUUUUAACUCUAUCGGCAUCCCCAGGCCACAGACAGGAGACUUUCUGCAGAUCUGCACUUUGUGUUGGAAAAUACGUCUGCUUGUGUGUGUGCGUCGGCAGCAUUGCCAUAACCAGCAUUCACUUUCCUGACUUGCCCAGGCUGCAGCAUGCAAGAUGAGUGUCGCAUGGGUACCUCCCCGCCUCUUGGACUUUUAAAAUAGAGCCGUCUCUCCAGAACAGACGGGCACAACUAAGGCCAGAUCACUGAUAACAGUAUCAGUAUCUACAUGCUAAAGACACAGCCCGCCCCCUUCCCAUGGGGUUCUUUCCUUGGCAGAAGUCACCAAGGAGACUGACUUUGGGAGAAGUAAUUUCUCCCCCUUCCGGAUAUGUUUUGCUUAAAACCUAAGAAGAAAACUCACAAGACCAGACUAGGAAAAUUUCAGCCCCCAAGGAUAAUUUUUCAGAAAGUAAUGAGCACUGGAAAAUGAGGGCUAUAAAGGAAGUCUUUAGGUAAUAAUCAUAACUAUAAUGUUCACCACUUUGAAGUGCAUUAAUAUAUACUAAAAUUACAGAAAAUAUUAAGUCUGCUGCAGGGGAAGGGGGCGUGCUUUGGAGCUUGUGGCUAAACCUCCUGGACCAGCUCUGUUCUCCCGGCCACAGCUGGGGCUAUGUGGCCCCUGGCCUGUCCCUGCCCUCACAGAGACACCCACCCUAAGAGAGGAUCCUGUGCCCCUAGCUGGGGUCCAGUUGCAGACACCGUGAAUGUGGGAUGGAGAAUCAGUAUCCCCCGCAGCGGGCUCCUUUUGGGGCUGUGAUGUUUUAUAGCCUGGCAAGGGAAUGCCAAGACUCCCUGAGGGUCUGGCUCACUUUAUCAGGGUCCCGCUGCUUGAGAGCAGGAGCCUGGGAGGCGAGGUGUGUAGACGCCCCAGCCGGGGCCCCUCGAGGCUGCAGUCGGGCUGAGGCAUUCAUUCCUCCGCAGGGGCCCCGGGGCGGGAGCAGCGGGAGCAUGGCCAUGUCGGCUGCUUGCUUUCUCCUGCUGCCUGGCUCUCUCUGUUCCCCUCCUGACCCCCUUCUGCCUCUCCUGCGUUCCCCUUCCUCACUCCCCUCCUUCACCUUCAGAGCCAGCGGACUUCUCCAGGCUGCACGCAGGCGAGGGGCUGGCAAUUGCAGGUCAAGCAGGCUCAGCUCGGAGCAGCGGGAGGAAAGAUUUACGGUUCCUCCCUGCCCUGCUUGAUGGACAAUUAAAGCCGUGCAUGGUUGGAGGAGAGCAGUGUCGUGAAGAGUCAGGAUGGUCAGAAUAAAUCAGUCACCUCCACUUAGACGGCUGAGCUAGACUGCUUCCCCGGGCCUUCGAGGUGGGAGCCCCCUGGGGUGUGGCUUUGAAGGUUCCUGAAUGGACUGUUCAAGGGUUUGACAUACUCUGAGCUCCAUCAGAGUCAGAGCCUGAAGACCCCGGGGGUCUCCUCACAAAUGGGGCAUGUGCUGUAGGGAAUUAAGGGAAAAUUCUGGAUAAUGUGUUUAGAGGGCGUUUUGUCUCCAUGGUAUCUGGCAUUUGCAAGAGCCUCAAACCUGAAUGUUUGGAAGUCAGGAUAGUGGACCCCCACCUGCAAGCAGAGCUUGUGCACAUGUAUGUGUGCACAGGUGCGUGCAUAUCAGUGCACACAUGCACACGUGUAGAUUGUACAUGCAUGUGCCUGUGUGUAGAGUGUGCACACAGGCAUGCAUGUGCAUCCUGUAUGUGUGCAUGUGUGUGCAUGUAUGUGCACAUGCACAAGUGUGUUUCUGCAUUUGUGUACCCACAUGUACCUGUGUGCGUGCAUGAGCAUAUGUGUGUCGUACAUGUGUGAGCACAUGUGUGUGUCAUGUAUUGGUACUGGUGCUUGCCUCUUGGACAUCGCAGGCUCCACUUGUGUCUUUAAACACACACGCCCCUCUGCAAGGCUGCCGGGAGCUGGGCUUCUGAGCAUCCACCAAGCCCUGCGGCCGUCCUUCUUCAUUUGUUCUGUGUGUUAUUUCAGUACCUUGAAGACUCUGGCAAUUUCCUCAAGGAAACUUUGUCUUUGUGGAAAUGAGAUGCCAGCACUCCUCGGCCCUCCCACUGGCUAAUUGAUGAUAUGAUCCCGCGUGGGAGACUUGCCAUUCCUGGAAAUGCUCUUUAUUUCCUGGGCCCCCCCUGCCCCCUGCCCGCCAUCGUCUGAUUUCUACGAGCUGCUGCAUGUGAGGUGCAGGGCCAGGCAUUUGCUGUGACUCAGCCCAUGUGCCAGGCCUUUCAUUAACUUGGAUACUACAAUUAUGUGUGCCAAGAGACUGCGAGGGCCAUUUAGGAUUUUUCUCCCUUUAAGAAAAUAUUCCUUUUUCCCCAGCCAGGUAGCCCAGCCCUUUGCCUCUGCAGCUGUGGCCCAAGCACUCCUCAGCUCUCCCGGCACCAACCUGCAACAAACUCUUGUUGGGGGGCUGCGGCUCCGCCAUGGUUCUGUCGGAGGUGCUCAGUGGGUGGUCAAGGCAGCCUGCCCUUGGGAGCCGCAAGACGUGGCCUGCUGCGGUGGCUUCACGGUCACGGCACGAAUAGCAGCGUGCGUGCUUUUGUGCCUGUGUGAGCACAUGUACACCCCAUCGGCACACGCGAGGAUGACCUUUGGCACAGAACACCUGCUGCUGUGGCCUGCACAGAGAAGGGCUGACCCCAGGACAGCGGCUCCCAUUCGCCUCCACCAAGGCCAGCUGGACCCUUCAAGGGACCCUGAGAAUCUCCGAGUGUGGGCAGUGGGGUCGUGUCGUGCGGGGGUGGAGUUGCACGGGUCUCCUGUGCACCUACACAUGCGUGCUGGCCAGCAUAUUAGUAUGUUCGCAGGGGUAGCCUGACCCUCUUCCCCCACUUAGGAGAUGCGUGCGUGGAAACUUGCCCCCGUGGGUGUCUUGGGAUGAAUAUUUGGGAUCCUGGUGGAUCUGGAUUGCAGAGUAGCUGGGCACUGUAAGAGUUCCUGUAAAUGUUGGGUCUCCUGGGGAGGGGGAGGCAUGGAGCACUUCUCACUUCUGUGGGUGGGUGGAAGGUUGGGGAGGGGCCACACUGGCUCAAGAUCACCCCACAGGGAGCAACCUAAUCUGAGGACAGACCUGCCUGGGACUCUGUGGAACUGAGAUGAGACACUUGCUUCCCCCUUCAAAGGUCAUGAGAUUCUGGGGACACGGGCUGCCUUCCAUACGGUACCCACAAAGCUCAUUAAAAGCACCAUUCAGAGGCCUCGUUAUCUCAAAAAGGAAGGCAAGAGUCCAACCCACUAAGCACCAAAUAACAACUCAACAACUCAAAAACUUAUUUUUUUAAACUUCCUGGAGUUGCCAUGGUUACUUGCACGGUCCCUGCGUCUCUGUUGCUCUACGUGGAGCUGCUUGGAGGAGGAAUUAAAGCCUCCAAGGUUCACCCCUUGGAAGGGUCUGUUUAUGCUCCUCUGUGGAGGAAAAGAGCUGGAGAAGGUAGGGAUCUUCCAGGACCAUGGGAUGUGAUUUUCCAACAUUGCACUUCGGAGAUGCUGGAGACAGAAUUUGUCUCCCACGCUAAAAUAAUUAUAGCCAGGAGAACAGAGAAUACAUCAUUCUAAGUUAAGGUCCUUAACAACGAGGAGGGUGUGUGCGCGUGUGCAUGUGUGUGUGUGUGCGCGCACAUGUGCAUGUAUGUGUGCACAUGUGUGCAUGUAUGUGUGUGCAUGUGCAUGAGCGUGUGUGUGCAUGUGUGCACGUGUGCAUGUGUGCAUGUGCACGGUCAUCUCUGCAUUGCCACCACCUUCCUCCUGGAGUGCUCUUUUGUACUGGCCACGUGUGUAAAGGCAGUGGCACCUGAGGCCCCUGCACCUGUUGGUCACCCUCCAGCAGGCAGCGCUCCUGCUCCUGUGGCUUCUGCCCAGGCAAUGUUAUUGGAAGGCAGAUUUCUGCAGCAGGAUUUUGGGGAGAAUUGCUAGUGAGGGAUGGUGGAAAGAGGGUGGGUCAAGGAGGAAUAAUAAAGAAGCCAAGACUCCU